rnacentral:rRNA from 1 species
GACGAACGCUGGCGGCGUGCCUAAUACAUGCAAGUUGAGCGCUGAAGGUUGGUACUUGUACCAACUGGAUGAGCAGCGAACGGGUGAGUAACGCGUGGGGAAUCUGCCUUUGAGCGGGGGACAACAUUUGGAAACGAAUGCUAAUACCGCAUAAAAACUUUAAACACAAGUUUUAAGUUUGAAAGAUGCAAUUGCAUCACUCAAAGAUGAUCCCGCGUUGUAUUAGCUAGUUGGUGAGGUAAAGGCUCACCAAGGCGAUGAUACAUAGCCGACCUGAGAGGGUGAUCGGCCACAUUGGGACUGAGACACGGCCCAAACUCCUACGGGAGGCAGCAGUAGGGAAGCUUCGGCAAUAGACGAAAGUCUGACCGAGCAACGCCGCGUGAGUGAAGAAGGUUUUCGGAUCGUAAAACUCUGUUGGUAGAGAAGAACGUUGGUGAGAGUGGAAAGCUCAUCAAGUGACGGUAACUACCCAGAAAGGGACGGCUAACUACGUG